UACGUAGGGGGCAAGCGUUGUCCGGAUUUAUUGGGCGUAAAGAGCGUGUAGGCGGCUAGGUAGGUCCGUUGUGAAAACUCGAGGCUCAACCUCGAGACGUCGAUAGAAACCAUCUGGCUAGAGUCCGGAAGAGGAGAGUGGAAUUCCCAGUGUAGCGGUGAAAUGCGUAGAUAUUGGGAGGAACACCAGUGGCGAAGGCGGCUCACUGGACCGGUACUGACGCUGAGGCGCGAAAGCAUGGGGAGCGAACAGGAUUAGAUACCCCAGUAGU
rnacentral:rRNA from 1 species